UGGGGGUAGUAUCGUCCCUUAGCUUGCCAACUGCAGCUCUUCACUGACUGGGCAACAGCGGCGGCGCGGUGGUCCGAAAAACGGCCUGAAACUUCGUCUUUGGGUGAGAGAAAAUGGCCCGAACCAAGCAGACUGCUCGUAAAUCCACUGCUGUGAAGCCCCCCCGCAAGCAGCUGGCCACCCCCGCCGCAAGCAGCUGGCCACCAGGCUGCCAGGAAAGCGCGCCCUCUACCGGCGGGGUGAAAAAGCCCCAUCGCUACAGGCCUGGCACUGUGGCUCUUGGAGAGAUUCGUCGUUAUCAGAAAUCCACUGAGCUUCUCAUCCGAAAGCUGCCUUUCCAGAGGUUGGUGAGAGAGAUUGCCCAGGAUUUUAAAACGGACCGGAGGUUUCAGAGCGCGGCCAUCGGUGCGCUUCAGGAGGCUAGUGAAGCGUACCUGGUGGGUCUGUUUGAAGAUACCAGUCUGUGUGCCAUCCACGCCAAGAGUCACCAGCAUGCCCAAAGACAUCCAGCUGGCUCGCCGGAUACGGGAGAGAGAGCUUAAGUGAAGGCAGUUUUUAUGGCGUUUUGUAUAAAUUCUGUAAAAUACUUUGGUUUAAUUUGUGACUUUUUUUUGUAAGAAAUUGUUUAUAAUAUGUUGCAUUUGUACUUAAGUCAUUCCAUCUUUCACUCAGGAUGAACGGGAAAGUGACUGUUCACAGA